GUUAGGAAUUUUCCGCAAUGGGCGAAAGCCUGACGGAGCAACGCCGCGUGGGUGAUGAAGACCUUCGGGUUGUAAAGCCCUGUCGGAGGGGAAGACCAUGACGGUACCCUCCAAGAAAGCCCCGGCUAACUACGUGCCAGCAGCCGCGGUAACACGUAGGGGGCGAGCGUUAUCCGGAUUUACUGGGCGUAAAGCGCGUUAAGGCGGUCGGCAAAGUUGGGGGUGAAAUCUCAGGGCUCAACCCUGGAACUGCCUCCAAUACUGGUCGACUAGAGUGCGAGAGAGGAAGGUGGAAUUCCCGGUGUAGUAGUGAAAUGCGUAGAUAUCGGGAGGAACACCAGUGGCGAAGGCGGCCUUCUGGCUCGCAACUGACGCUGUAGCGCGAAAGCGUGGGGAGCGAACGGGAUUAGAUACCCUUGUAGUCC
rnacentral:rRNA from 1 species